CUAGUAUAGCAUUUAUACAGUGAAACUGCGAAUGGCUCAUUAAAUCAGUUAUAGUUUAUUUGAUAGUACCUUUACUACUUGGACACUAACCGUGGUAAUUCUAGAGCUAAUACAUGCUAAAAACCCCGACUGUUUGGGAGGGGUGUAUUUAUUAGAUAAAAAAUCAAUGCUCCUCGGAGCCCUUUGAUGAUUCAUAAUAACUUUUCGAAUCGCAUGGCUUCUUGCCGGCGAUGGUUCAUUCAAAUUUCUGCCCUAUCAACUUUCGAUGGUAGGAUAGUGGCCUACCAUGGUUUCAACGGGUAACGGGGAAUCAGGGUUCGAUUCCGGAGAGGGAGCCUGAGAAACGGCUACCACAUCCAAGGAAGGCAGCAGGCGCGCAAAUUACCCAAUCCUAAUUCAGGGAGGUAGUGACAAUAAAUAACGAUACAGGGCCCAUUCGGGUCUUGUAAUUGGAAUGAGUACAAUGUAAAUACCUUAACGAGGAACAAUUGGAGGGCAAGUCUGGUGCCAGCAGCCGCGGUAAUUCCAGCUCCAAUAGCGUAUAUUAAAGUUGUUGCAGUUAAAAAGCUCGUAGUUGAACCUUGGGCCUGGCGUGCCGGUCCGCUUUCUUGCGUGUACUGGAGGCGCCGGGCCUUUCCUUCUGGGGGGAGCUCUGUCCUUGUGGCGGAGUUUUUUUCCAGGACUUUUACUUUGAAAAAAUUAGAGUGUUCAAAGCAGGCCUUUGCUCGAAUAUAUUAGCAUGGAAUAAUAGAAUAGGACGUUUGGUUCUAUUUUGUUGGUUUCUAGGACCAUCGUAAUGAUUAAUAGGGACGGUCGGGGGCAUCAGUAUUCAAUUGUCAGAGGUGAAAUUCUUGGAUUUAUUGAAGACUAACUACUGCGAAAGCAUUUGCCAAGGACGUUUUCAUUAAUCAAGAACGAAAGUUAGGGGAUCGAAGAUGAUCAGAUACCGUCGUAGUCUUAACCA
rnacentral:rRNA from 1 species